CUCAUGGUUCCUAGUUGGAUUCAUUAACCACUGAGCCAUGACGGGAACUCUGAUUCCUCCUCCUUUUAACAUAUGUACAGACUGAGGUUACAUGGCAUCCAAAGUUUACAUGGAAAAUGAGUUCCAGGGCUUUAGAACCCACAGUGCUCUUUCCACCCUGGAAGGAAAGAUGAAAAGCAAAGCAAGGCACUAAUCCACAGACUGUGUCUCUAUUGUGCAAGAUUUUAGUUGAGUCAUUUAUUAAUAAGUAAUCAUCCUGCUCCCUCAGCUUGGUGUGGCUCCCUUCCCCUCCCUCUUAUGUCCCUUCCACACAUUCCUUGUGUCCCCAGGACUUCACAGCCCAAUGGAAACACUGUUUCUUCCAUGGUACCUUCCUGGGAGCACUCCCAAUGGGAGUUAACCUCUCCCUACCACUUGGUGCCUCCCUAAUGCUGGUCAAGCUUUCCUUUUUUUUUUUUUUUUUUUUUUUUUUUUUUUUCCCCCGCUUUUUAGGGCUGUGCCUGGGGCAUAUGGAGGUUCUCAGCCUAAGGGCUGAAUCGGAGCUGCAGCUACCAGCCUACACCACAGCUGCAGCAACACCAGAUCCUUAACCCACUGAGCGAGGGAUCAAACCCGUGUCCUCAUGGAUACUCGUCGGGUUUGCUACUGCCGAAAAAGCAGGUCAUGCUUUUCUAACCUGCUUUAUACCCUCACCUAGAAUGUCAGCUCCAUGUCUGGGUCCUCUUCACAGUAUUUAUGGCCCUAGUCUUACCUGUCUGAACACUCCCACCAUCCCUGGGAAAAGUCUAGUUAGAGGAGGUGUUUGCAUCAAUUAUUCUGGAGCAAAAGCAAGGUCACCCCAAGGUGGCUCCUAUACCUGGUUAUAAGUGGAGGCCACAAGGAAUCAGGUAAUGUAGAGGAAUGCUUGGAGCAUGCAGGAAUCAGGGUCUGUAGGACCAAAGGGCACCAAAGAAAGAUCUGUCACAUCUCUUGGAGCUAAUGGAUGUCAGAAAAGACUUGGUGGGAUUAACACCAACCCCCACACCACCCCUAGGUGUGGGACAGUCAAGUGACAAAGCAAAGCUGGCCAAGGUCAUUUGUCUUAGAUGUGUGAGACCAAGGAUACUUUCUCUCUGCUGGGCUCAUUGCUGGAUCUCCACAUGGUGACUCUCAAAGAAAUACCAGGAUUUGAAUCUGGGUCUAUCUGGUGCCCAUCACAAUGCUGUUUCUGUUACAGAAAUAUCCCUCUGCCUUCCUUUUCUUAAACUAUCAAGGUUUUUCUUAAAAAAUUAUAAGAAUGUUUCAACUAAAGCAAAUCAUCUAGAACAAUCUCUGGCACAGCAACCAGGAGAACGUGGCAGGGCCUCUGCCCAUUAGUCCUGAGGAGCCUUUGGAAGUGGCUUCACCUUCUAGGCUUCUGUUUCCUCAGAUAGAAAAAGAGGAGGCAGCUGAAUUCAGAGGGAAGGUGGGGGCAGGUCACAAACCCAGGUGUUGUUGGCAUCAAGAUGCCCUGAAAGUGAGCUGUAACAUUUAGGAGUGCAUGAUGUAGCCACCCCUCAGCUGUCCCCAUGCAAGAAUGGGGCCUGGAACUGGCAGCCAAAGCAUCCAGUUUUUCAAUCUUCAACAUUAUUUUUAUUUGAAAUCUCCAGAUUUUUAAAUAUUGACAAAAAAUCCCACUUAAAAUAACAAGGAAAAAAACCAAAAAAAAAAAAACCCAAAAAAACAAAAAAACUACUCAGGUCAAAAGAGAUCUAUCUAGGGAGUUCCCAUCGUGGCUCAGUAGGUAAUGAACCUGACUAGUAUCCAUGAGAACAGAGGUUUGAUCCCCAGCAUUGCUGUGAGCUGUGGCGUAGGCCGGCAGCUACAGCUCUGAUUCGAUCCCUAGCCUGGGAACCUCCAUAUGCCUCAGAUGCAGCCCUUAACUAACUAACUAACUAACUAACUAACUAAAUAGGAGAGAGAGAGAGAUCUGUCUGGAAGUUCCCACAGUGGCACAACUGGAUUGGCAGUGUCUUGGGAAAGCUGGGACACGAAUUCGAUCCCCAGUCCUGCACGGUGGGUUAAGGACUCAGCAUUGCCACAGCUUUGGCUUAGGUUGCAACUGCAGCUAGAAUCUGAUCCCUGGCCCAGACUCCAGGAACUCCAUGGGCCACAGGGAGGCCAAAAAGGAAAUGAAAAAAAAAAAAAAGAGAGAGAGAGAGAGACAUCCCAUCCGGCCACCAGUUUGCAACAUCAGAUUGCUUGACAUUUGAGGUCUCCUCUAGCUCUGGAAUUUGGCAAUUAAGAGGAGGUUGCCCAUUUCUCCUCCUGUGAAGUGACACAUACAAUAGGAAGAAUAAAACCUAGGUGCCUUCUGUUUUUGAGGCAACACUGGUGAAGGCUGGGCCUGAUCACAGGGGACAGAUGUUCUCAAGUCGAUGGAUUUUUCUCUGACCUUGGCUGCAAGCCUGGAGCCUAACUCCUCCUUUCAUGCUUAACACGGCUGCCUCACCUCACACUCCCAUCCCACUGAGGGCUCAGCUGAUGACCUUUGUCAACCCCCAGUGCCUUCAGGUAUGUAAAUGAGGUGCUUUUCUUCCCAAACUGGACAGAUCAGAUGUACUGUCACCAAGCACUUAUGUGCAAGAGAGUCUCAGUUCUAGAGGAAGGUGGGGUUCAGGAAAUAUUUUGUUUAAAAAAAUGUGUAAGUAUGAGAAGGGUCAUCAGAUAACAUCAGCUUUUACAGAUUGAGGCUGCUCAGACGGGAGUUAUAAAACACUCUUCACACAGACUCAAAGGAAUAUUGAUUUUGGGGGAGCAGAGGGGGUCAAAAUUACAUCUCUUGCGCAACAGCCGCCACUGCUUCUCCACUCCAGACCUUUUUAACAAAGAACAAGUCUGGAAAGGGCAGAAACAUAGAGCUAGAGAGAAGGAUAAAGAGGAAGGCAUUGUCUGGUCCUCAAAAACCUUCCCCGGGGCCGCAGCGCUGAGGAAGGGUGCAUCUCUUCGGGAAAAACCAGAGCCUCGUUUUGUGUUGUGGCUGCUGCGGUUGACAGCUGCUCCUGGGGACAUGCACUCGGCACAAGCGGGAAGCCAGGGGGAAAGGUCACUUGAGGCGGCCAGUGGCCGGAUGACAGCAGCUGCCCAAGAUUUCUCAGGUUGAUUCACUUCUUCCUGCAAGUGGAUGAAAUGCCCAGAAGACACCAGCCACGUUCAUACUUCAGCAGGAGUGUGAUGCAAUCGGCCUUCAGGAUUCUGACGGUCUCUUCCUUGUGACCGGCACACGCAGGCCUGCCGAUGCUUUUUGGUCUGGAAGGACAGGCAUGUGGAAGGGAGAAAAGCGUCCCUUUUCAGCUCUUGCCAAAGAUGAGCCAGUACCCGUGUCCACCACCUUGGCCUGCAAGAGGUCCCUGGCCUGGAUGGGGAGGGGAAGGCUUCUUUAGGAAGAAGUAGGAUUUGUGAGUCCUGAGACCAUUUUGCUGGUGGCUGCAGCCCAAAAGAUACAGGAAUGAGGAGUGAAAUAUAGAAAGCUCUGGGGUUAGAACAGAGCAGACAGGAGAACCCUGGCACCUUAAUUACUGUUACUCAUUGGAAGCGAGGAGACCCUCUUUUCCACUCUUCCUCCUCUUUAGGGCCUCCCACAUUGGAAGUGACAGUCCCAGGCCUGGGCUGAGUCACUGAAAAACGGAAGAAGGAGCUCACUGCAGGUGGAGUGGGGAGAUGGGAGGUGGAGGCAGAUGGGCCUGUGCUGCCUGUGUUUCAGUGAAGUGAUCCUGGUACCUGGAAAACGUGGCCUGACAGAUCAAGGCCCCAACAGAUCCCAUCACAUAGCCCCAAGGAGGGGGCAGAUGAGCCCAGAGAGUUCACUCCAAUCCUGUUCCACCACACAGAAACCUGAGGGAGCUGGAGCUAAAAGAUCCCCCCUCUGCCACAUGCACAUGACAGAGCAAGGCUGGGCCCAGAUGGGUCAAAGCCAAUGGGAGAAAACAAAGCUAUGAAGUUAGAUAGCGGCGGAAAACAGAGCCUGGGUCAGUGGACCAGUCAUCCAUGCCACCUACUGAUGAGUGAGGUCCACCAGCUGGUGACACUGCCAAGCAAGGGAGCCAUGACAGUCAGGUCUCAGGAGCUAGAAAAUAUCCCAGGGGAGGAAAGCUGCAGAAGACAGGCAGAAGCAGUGCUCUGGGGGCACAAAGAAGCUUCAGCCCCAGCAGAAGCUUCUUUUGAAAGCCCAUAGCUGGACCCCUUAGCAGUGCCUUGUCUUUCCCAAAGACAGUCUCCAAGCCAGGCUUUUGGACAUGGGUCAGAGAAACAAACUAGGAGCCCAGAGUGGAAAGCUAGCCUGAGGUGGCCGAUGGCCAAGGAGUCUGUAAGCAUAGAAGGACCCAAGCCACAAAGAGAGAGGUGGGAACGUGUGUUGGGCUCACAGACUGUGUGCAGAAUGAGGCAGGAUCAGGUGAGAAAGCUCUAGGAGUGAGAAAAGUUGAACUCCAUGCAGGGCUACAGGGGGAAAUGUCUGACCAACAUCUCACACACUGAGCCUCCAGGAAAUUCCAAGUUUGUGCUGAGAGAGGCUAGACACCAAGUAGACAUUUCAGGGCCUGAAAUGGACCAGACCUGACUAAGAUGGCAGCCAUCCUGCCUGCAGCCUGCAAGUGCUGAGUGCUAGGGGUGCAUUCUGCCUCUGAAGAUCUGGAGGCAGAAGGAGAUCCCAGUUUAAGGAGCCCUCAGAACUGCUUUCCUAUUCGAGAAUUGUGUGUGUGUGGAGAUUCCCCCUAGUCUGAGCUUUAAAGAAAACUGGGGAAUGCCCGUGAUGACAAAUGGACUCAAGGAUGGUUAAGAUCCAGGGGAAAGGAGUUCCCACCUUGGCUCGGGGUAAUGAACCUGACUAGUAUCCAUGAGGACACGGGUUCAAUCCCUGACCUCACUCAGUGGGGAAAGGAUCUGGCAUGGCCAUGAGCUGUGGUGUUGGUCUCAGAUGCAGGUCAGAUCUGGCGUUGCUGUGGUGUAGGCCAGCGACUACAGCUCUGAUUAGACCCCUAGCCUGGGAUAUUCCAUAUGCCACAAAGGCAGCCCUAAAAAGACACACACACACACACACACACACACA
rnacentral:lncRNA from 1 species